rnacentral:rRNA from 1 species
GACUAAGCCAUGCGAGUCGAAUGUAGCAAUACAUGGCGUACUGCUCAGUAACACGUGGACGACCUGCCCUUAGGUCGGGUAUAAACCCGGGAAACUGGGUAUAAUCCCCGAUAGAUCUCGGCUGCUGGAAUGCACCGAGAUUGAAAGCUCCGGCGCCUAAGGAUGGGUCUGCGGCCUAUCAGGUAGUAGUGGGUGUAGCGUACCUACUAGCCUACGACGGGUACGGGUUGUGAGAGCAAGAGCCCGGAGAUGGAUUCUGAGACACGAAUCCAGGCCCUACGGGGUGCAGCAGGCGCGAAAACUUUACAAUGCUGGCAACAGCGAUAAGGGAACCUCGAGUGCCAGGUUACAAAUCUGGCUGUCGAGAUGCCUAAAAAGCAUUUCAUAGCAAGGGCCGGGCAAGACCGGUGCCAGCCGCCGCGGUAACACCGGCGGCUCGAGUGGUAACCGUUAUUAUUGGGUCUAAAGGGUCUGUAGCCGGCCGGAUAAGUCUCUUGAGAAAUCUGGCAGCUUAACUGUCAGGCUUUCAGGAGAUACUGUCUGGCUCGAGGCCGGGAGAGGUGAGAGGUACUUCAGGGGUAGGGGUGAAAUCUUGUAAUCCUUGAAGGACCACCAGUGGCGAAGGCGUCUCACCAGAACGGACCUGACGGCAAGGGACGAAAGCUAGGGGCACGAACCGGAUUAGAUACCCUGGUAGUCCAUGCCGUAAACGUUGGGCGCUAGGUGUGGGGCUCAUUCCACGAGCUCCGUGCCGCAGCUAACGCAUUAAGCGCCCCGCCUGGGGAGUACGGCCGCAAGGCUAAAACUCAAAGGAAUUGACGGGGGCCCGCACAAGCGGCGGAGCAUGCGGAUUAAUUCGAUACAACGCGAAGAACCUUACCAAGGCUUGACAUAUACCGGAAACAUCCAGAGAUGGGUGCCCCGCAAGGUCGGUAUACAGGUGGUGCAUGGUUGUCGUCAGCUCGUGUCGUGAGAUGUUGGGUUAAGUCCCGCAACGAGCGCAACCCUCGUUCUAUGUUGCCAGCGCGUAAUGGCGGGGACUCAUAGGAGACUGCCGGGGUCAACUCGGAGGAAGGUGGGGAUGACGUCAAAUCAUCAUGCCCCUUAUGUCUUGGGCUUCACGCAUGCUACAAUGGCCGGUACAAAGGGCUGCGAUACCGCGAGGCGGAGCGAAUCCCAAAAAACCGGUCUCAGUUCGGAUUGGGGUCUGCAACUCGACCCCAUGAAGUCGGAGUCGCUAGUAAUCGCAGAUCAGCAACGCUGCGGUGAAUACGUUCCCGGGCCUUGUACACACCGCCCGUCAAGUCACGAAAGUCGGUAACACCCGAAGCCGGUGGCCCAACCCUUGUGGAGGGAGCCGUCGAAGGUGGGACUGGCGAUUGGGACUAAGUCGUAACAAGGUA